rnacentral:rRNA from 1 species
UAGGGAAUCUUCCGCAAUGGGCGAAAGCCUGACGGAGCAACGCCGCGUGAGUGAUGAAGGUCUUCGGAUCGUAAAACUCUGUUAUUAGGGAAGAAUAAAUGUGUAAGUAACUAUGCACGUCUUGACGGUACCUAAUCAGAAAGCCACGGCUAACUACGUGCCAGCAGCCGCGGUAAUACGUAGGGACCAAGCGUUGUUCGGAUUUACUGGGCGUAAAGGGCGCGUAGGCGGCAAUUCAAGUCAUCUGUGAAAUCUCCGGGCUUAACUCGGAACGGUCAGAUGAUACUGCUUUGCUAGAGUGCAGAAGGGGCAAUCGGAAUUCUUGGUGUAGCGGUGAAAUGCGUAGAUAUCAAGAGGAACACCUGAGGUGAAGACGGGUUGCUGGGCUGACACUGACGCUGAGGCGCGAAAGCCAGGGGAGCAAACGGGAUUAGAUACCCUCGUAGUCCCUGAGCGGGCUGGCAAGGCGCAU